rnacentral:rRNA from 8 species
UGGAAGUAAAAGUCGUAACAAGGUCUCCGUUGGUGAACCAGCGGAGGGAUCAUU